GACGAACCGUGCGAACGUUGUUCGGAAUUACUGGGCGUAAAGCGCGCGUAGGCGGACCUGCAAGUCGGGGGGUGAAAGCCCGAGGCUCAACCUCGGAACUGCCUUCGAUACUGCGGGUCUCGAGUCCGGGAGAGGUGAGUGGGAAUUCCUAGUGUAGAGGUGAAAUUCGUAGAUAUUAGGAAGAACACCAGUGGCGAAGGCGGCUCACUGGCCCGGUACUGACGCUGAGGCGGCGAAAAGCG
rnacentral:rRNA from 1 species